GAUCAUGGCUCAGGAUGAACGCUAGCUACAGGCUUAACACAUGCAAGUCGCGGGGCAGCAUUCCUUAGCUUGCUAAGGAAGAUGGCGACCGGCGCACGGGUGAGUAACGCGUAUCCAACCUUCCCAUGUCCACGGGAUAGCCCGUCGAAAGGCGGAUUAAUACCGUAUGAGGUCACAUGCGGGGCAUCUAAGCGUGACGAAAGGUUUAGCGGACAUGGAUGGGGAUGCGUCCGAUUAGCUUGUUGGCGGGGUAACGGCCCACCAAGGCGACGAUCGGUAGGGGUUCUGAGAGGAAGGUCCCCCACAUUGGAACUGAGACACGGUCCAAACUCCUACGGGAGGCAGCAGUGAGGAAUAUUGGUCAAUGGACGCAAGUCUGAACCAGCCAAGUAGCGUGCAGGAUGACGGCCCUAUGGGUUGUAAACUGCUUUUAUGCGGGGAUAAAGUGUGGGACGUGUCCCAUAUUGUAGGUACCGCAUGAAUAAGGACCGGCUAAUUCCGUG
rnacentral:rRNA from 1 species